rnacentral:lncRNA from 1 species
CUACUUGUCAUCUUCAGCCUGCAGGCGGCUGUCUCUGAGGCUGCUGCUUCCUGUGGCGAUGGGGAUUGAAGAUGCUAAUCUGCAGAUGGCAGAGAGGCGAUGCAAAGCGGAUUUGAAAGGAGGACAGGAGGAGCUACGGAAACCCAGGAGGUACAGAAGACGCGAAUGACAACGAGCACACAUUACUGAGGAUCUUCUCUGACCAGCGGCCUUCAAAAACAGAACCGAACCAAACACCACAGGAUCUUUUUCUCAUUUGUAUGCGGAAUUCUCAUCAUUCUUGCUCGCCGCCACAUGGGAGGGAUACAGUGUGCAGAGGGGCUGCACUGAGAAUUUCCCUCUUUUACUCAAAACAAAAUCCUUUACAGUAAAAACCUUGUAAAUCUGCACCAGAGCAGGUGAAAACAAACACUGGGGAUUAUUCGCAGCUUGUGUUCGGCCCCCCCGGCUCUGCUGAACUCUCGACCACACAGCCUCAAAUCCUGGAUAUCCAAAACACCGGACUUGUCACAACAAAGAACAUUAAUUUCUCUCCUUCCUGCCCCAAUAAGUUAAAGACUUUGAGUAAUGAUGUUGGCGUGCUGUGCAGUUGUGGCUACUAAAAUAAUGUUAAUGGGAUUUAUAUACUCAUUCGAAUUUCCGAAUGUUUAGCUAAUGUGAUGUGUUACUGUUACUGUUGAUGAUGUGAUGAAGCAGAUUCUCAUGAAUAAAUGACUAUGAAUGUAUUGUGAUCCAGAGGAGAAAAGGCACCUCCAUGUUGAUGCAUGCAAAGUAAAUCCAGUUUAAUUAUUCAUACUCGAGUAACCUAGUUUGGGUCACAUUUGCUCUACUAGUAUGUACAUUGUCACACGUUAUUACUUAAUUAUUACUUAAGAAACUCUGUUGUUACAAGACACAUAAAAGAGUCAUAACUUCUCAAAAGACCCACAGUAUAUUGUGAUUUGUUUAUGAAAAUGCCAUGAUCAAAAU